rnacentral:rRNA from 1 species
GACGAACGCUGGCGGCGUGCUUAACACAUGCCAGUCGAACGCUGAAGCUCAGCUUUUGUUGGGUGGAUGAGUGGCGAACGGGUGAGUAACACGUGAGUAACCUGCCUCCUUCUUUGGGAUAACGCCCGGAAACGGGUGCUAAUACUGGAUAUUCACUGGUCUUCGCAUGGGGGUUGGUGGAAAGGGUUUUUCUGGUGGGGGAUGGGCUCGCGGCCUAUCAGCUUGUUGGUGGGGUGAUGGCCUACCAAGGCUUUGACGGGUAGCCGGCCUGAGAGGGUGACCGGUCACAUUGGGACUGAGAUACGGCCCAGACUCCUACGGGAGGCAGCAGUGGGGAAUAUUGCACAAUGGGCGCAAGCCUGAUGCAGCGACGCCGCGUGAGGGAUGGAGGCCUUCGGGUUGUGAACCUCUUUCGCUCAUGGUCAAGCCGCAACAAUGGUUGUGGUGUGGGUAGUGGGUAAAGAAGCGCCGGCUAACUACGUG